rnacentral:rRNA from 1 species
UGGGGAAUAUUGCACAAUGGGCGAAAGCCUGAUGCAGCAACGCCGCGUGAGUGAUGAAGGCCUUCGGGUUGUAAAGCUCUGUCUUUUGGGACGAUAAUGACGGUACCAAAGGAGGAAGCCACGGCUAACUACGUGCCAGCAGCCGCGGUAAUACGUAGGUGGCAAGCGUUGUCCGGAUUUACUGGGCGUAAAGGAUGCGUAGGCGGAUUUUUAAGUGAGAUGUGAAAUACCCGGGCUUAACUUGGGUGCUGCAUUUCAAACUGGGAAUCUAGAGUGCGGGAGAGGAGAAUGGAAUUCCUAGUGUAGCGGUGAAAUGCGUAGAGAUUAGGAAGAACACCAGUGGCGAAGGCGAUUCUCUGGACCGUAACUGACGCUGAGGCAUGAAAGCGUGGGUAGCAAACAGGAUUAGAUACCCUGGUAGUCCACGCCGUAAACGAUGAGUACUAGGUGUAGGAGGUAUCGACCCCUUCUGUGCCGCAGUUAACACAAUCAAGUACUCCGCCUGGGAAGUACGAUCGCAAGAUUAAAACUCAAAGGAAUUGACGGGGU